AAGAGUAAAGUACUUCCGCUUCCUUAGGUGGAGCUGGAAAGGUGGAGGCGGAAGUGACUGAUCAAUUCAGGGGCGUGGGGUUCGUUUAGGUUUUGCCCUGUGUAUGACCUCGUUUGGAGCCAUGAAACCAGGUGGCUUUUCUACAAUAUAAAGAUGGAAAUGGGAUGAUGUUCAUUGCAAAUUAGGAUAAAUAUCAAGCAGUGCAAUUCCUGGAUUUAUGAUGUCUGAGGAAUAGUCUUAGUGGAUUAUCCCAAACUUGACACAUUUUUUGCAAAAUGCUAUACAAAAAGAAGAUACAUGCGAUUAUGACAAGAUUCUCCACUUGGUGUGACCAGUCUCAUACAACCCAAGGCUGUGUGUCCAAAGGCAACUGCACUGCACAUGACAGAAUUGCUCUGUUGAAGUUUUGCAAGGUCAAAUGACUCACUUUGUCUAAUGGAAUGGGAACGAACAAUUUUUUUGUGUCACGUUUGAACAGAUACCUUUGAGAAGUUUAUGAUUCUCCAAGUUCUCUUUCUCCUACUGUGGCACCUACUGACAAGAUAAAU
rnacentral:lncRNA from 1 species